GCAUUGGUGGUUCAAUGGUAGAAUUCUCGCCUGCCACGCGGGAGAUCCGGGUUCGAUUCCCGGCCAAUGCA
rnacentral:tRNA from 1 species